rnacentral:misc_RNA from 1 species
GGCGGUGGCGGAGGUAGUUGUGGUUGUUGAAAUUGUUUGGUCUUCGCCUCCUGCGAGUUUCCUGUGACUUGCCUUAUGACCACCUAAGGCUUGGUAAGAAGAAAAUGACUUGUUGCAUACCGUACACUUAUAGCUAGAUUUCUGCUCCUCUGAAUUUGUGGAACCCUGGAGCUGAGGAGAUGGAGUAGGGGAGCGGUGGCGGUGUGGGACGGGGGAGGCAGAGG